rnacentral:rRNA from 1 species
GAUGAACGCUGGCGGCGUGCUUAACACAUGCAAGUCGAACGGAGAUAUUAAAAAUGAAGUAAGGAGCUUGCUUCGGACGGAAUGAUUAAUAUCUUAGUGGCGGACGGGUGAGUAACGCGUGGAUAACCUGCCUUAUACUGGGGGAUAACACUUAGAAAUAGGUGCUAAUACCGCAUAAGCGCACAGCUUUGCAUGAAGGUGUGUGAAAAACUCCGGUGGUAUAAGAUGGAUCCGCGUCUGAUUAGCUAGUUGGUGGGGUAACGGCCCACCAAGGCGACGAUCAGUAGCCGGCCUGGGAGGGUGAACGGCCACAUUGGGACUGAGACACGGCCCAAACUCCUACGGGAGGCAGCAGUGGGGAAUAUUGCACAAUGGGGGAAACCCUGAUGCAGCGACGCCGCGUGAGUGAAGAAGUAUUUCGGUACGUAAAGCUCUAUCAGCAAGGAAGAAAAUGACGGUACUUGACUAAGAAGCCCCGGCUAACUACGUGCCAGCCGCCGCCGUAA